UCUAAUAUGGCAGAUUAGUGCAAUGGAUUUAAGCUUCGUAUAUAAAGGAAUGCCCUUUUAUUAGAA
rnacentral:tRNA from 1 species